GAAAAGAACUUCUUACUAUUACCCAAAAAUGCAGUGAGUACCUAUCCACAGUGAUUUACAAAUGCUUGUUGAAUUAAAGUAUCUAGUAGCAAAGAAGUAGCAGAGGAGAUAGUUUCUAGGCAUGGAUUCUUCCUUCAAUCUGCUGUUGGGCAAGUCCAUUAACUUCUUUUUUAAAUUUUAUUUUAAUUAGACCUUUACCUUCUGUCUCAGAAUGGAUACUAAGGAUCGGUCCCAAGGCAGAAGAGCAGUGAAGGCUUGAACCCAGGACAUUCCAUCUCCAGGCUUGUGUUUCUAUCUAGUGAACCACCUAGCUGCCCCUGUCAAUUAGCUUCCCUAGAAUUCACUUAAGAACUUUAAUCAACUCCAUGACCAUGACUCCAAAGGACCAAUGAUGAAGGAUGCUUUCCACCUUCUGACAAAGUGAUGGAUUUAGGAUGCAGAAUACGACACACAGUUCUGGACAUGGCCAAUAUGAGAAUUUAUUUUGCUUGACUAUAUAUGUUACAAAGGUUUUUUUUUUUUUUAAUGUUUUGUUUUCCUGAGGUGAGAGGAAAAAAAAUUGUUCAUCAGAAAAAGAUACAAAAUUUGAUUUCAAAACUUCUCUAGGGGCAGCUAGGUGGCUCAGUAGAUAGAGAGCCAAGCCUGGAGACUAGAGGUUCUACCUUCAAAUCUGGCCUCAGACACUUCCCAGCAGUGAUCCUGGGUAAAUCACUUAAUCCCAACUGCCUAGCCCUUACUGAUAGAAUUCUAAGACAGAAGGUAAGGGUUUUUAAAAAACAAAAAACCUCUAGGGCUCAGUUUCUCUUUCUACAACCGACAGGAAUUUACUGAACACACGGUGGAUAUUUCUGCAUUUCUCCUGGCAUUGGUGGAAGCCCCACAAUAGUCAUAAGUCUCCAGUGUACACAAAGGGAGAAGGGAGUCUGCAUUUCAGACUCUUCAGCAGUCCAAGCAAAAGGGCAAGGCUGGCUCUCCCGAUGGUCCUCCGGUUCCCCUUGCGCAGAAGUGCCAGCUUUACCCUGGAGUGUAGAACCUUGUUUGAGACACCUGAUCCCAGCAUCCUUACCAUGGAAGCCAACGUGUUGGUGAUGGGAGCAGAAAACGUUGGGAAGUCAGGUGAGAACCCCCAUUCUACACAAGCCUAGAU
rnacentral:lncRNA from 1 species